rnacentral:rRNA from 1 species
GAUGAACGCUGGCGGCGUGCCUAAUACAUGCAAGUCGAGCGAACAGACGAGGAGCUUGCUCCUCUGACGUUAGCGGCGGACGGGUGAGUAACACGUGGAUAACCUACCUAUAAGACUGGGAUAACUUCGGGAAACCGGAGCUAAUACCGGAUAAUAUAUUGAACCGCAUGGUUCAAUAGUGAAAGACGGUUUUGCUGUCACUUAUAGAUGGAUCCGCGCCGCAUUAGCUAGUUGUUAAGGUAACGGCUUACCAAGGCAACGAUGCGUAGCCGACCUGAGAGGGUGAUCGGCCACACUGGAACUGAGACACGGUCCAGACUCCUACGGGAGGCAGCAGUAGGGAAUCUUCCGCAAUGGGCGAAAGCCUGACGGAGCAACGCCGCGUGAGUGAUGAAGGUCUUCGGAUCGUAAAACUCUGUUAUUAGGGAAGAACAAAUGUGUAAGUAACUAUGCACGUCUUGACGGUACCUAAUCAGAAAGCCACGGCUAACUACGU